rnacentral:rRNA from 1 species
GAUGAACGCUAGCGGCAGGCUUAAUACAUGCAAGUCGUGGGGCAGCAUGAUGUAGCAAUACAUUGAUGGCGACCGGCAAACGGGUGCGGAACACGUACACAACCUUCCUUUAAGCGGGGGAUAGCCCAGAGAAAUUUGGAUUAAUACCCCAUAGUAUUGUUGAGUGGCAUCACUUGAUGAUUAAAGAUUUAUCACUUAAAGAUGGCUGUGCGGCUGAUUAGGUAGUUGGCGGGGUAAUGGCCCACCAAGCCUUCGAUCAGUAACUGGUGUGAGAGCACGACCAGUCACACGGGCACUGAGACACGGGCCCGACUCCUACGGGAGGCAGCAGUAAGGAAUAUUGGGCAAUGGACGCAAGUCUGACCCAGCCAUGCCGCGUGGAGGAUGAAGGUCCUCUGGAUUGUAAACUUCUUUUAUUUGGGAAGAAACCCGGAUUUUCUAAUUCGGUUGACGGUACCAGAUGAAUAAGCACCGGCUAACUCCGUGCCAGCCGCCGCAGUAAUAC